rnacentral:lncRNA from 1 species
UUGACUACAGGUAUCCACCUCCUAGUCCUGAGAACCUGUAAAUAUGUGAACCUGACCUGGCAAAAGGGCCUUUGCAGGUGUGACCGGGUUAAAGACCUGGGGAUGGGAGAUGAUCCCGGAUGGGCCAGGUGAGUCCAGUGUCAUGACACAGUCCUUAUAGGAAGCCGGGGGUUGACGACAGGGUGAAGCAGUGUGAUAAAGACCCAGCCAGCACCGCAGUUUGUGAAGAUGGAGGAAGGGGUCAUGAGCAAGGAAUGCCGUGGCUUCUAGAAGCUGGAAAAGAUAAGGGAAUGUCGUCUCCCCUGGUGCCUCCAGAAGGAAUGCUGUCCUGCAGAUUUUAGUCAAUUUUAGCUCAGUGGGGCUGUUUCAGACAUUUGACCUGUAAGAGAACCAAGCCGCUUAAGUUUGUGACUAUCUAUUACAGCAGCCCCAGGAAACAGAUAUGCUAUGGGAAAUGUGUCGGUUAAAGAAAUAUACAGGACACAGGAAGUGAUGAUGACCAAAUGAGAAUCAGUGCAUCUCAUAUGAGGUGAAUAUGAGUCUCAUAUGAGACGAAUCUCGAGUCAGGAGAGUCGGUCCAUCUGUGGGGAGUGGGGGUUGUCACUGGAGGAGACACAUGGCAGAGCCCAGGGAGGGUGGCAAGUUCUACUUCUUGUCCCAGCUGGUGGUUCCAAGGGAUGCAUCUGGUAAAUCAUUCAUUAAGCGGUGCCUUUGUUUUAUGUGGUUCUCUAAGACUUUGAUUUCCAUUCAACCAGGUAAAAAUUCUAACAACUUCAAGAAUGGUUUCCUGGGGUAGAAUAGAAUCUCAUUCUCUGAAGCUGUUGAGGACAAAAGCAUUUCCUCCUCCUGAUCUUGCUGAUGUUCUUUCCACCAGCAGCACAGUGAUUGGCACAAAGAGGAAAGGUCUGAAUGUUGCACAAUAUCCACUGCCCAGAAUCUGCUUCCUGAAUGCCCUGGACAUACUCGUGCCUGACCCACAAAUUCUUGACAAUCUGAGCUGGAGCUGAGGUGGAGCUUUCAAGGCAAAGAUAUUUGCCCAACACAUCACCCCCUGCUCACAAAUAAUCUGUUUAUCAAACUUUCGCCAAAGCACUCAGUUGGAGGUGCCAAACCCUGACUUAGAUGGGUGGUGUCACUCCCAUUUUGUGGGUGAGUAAGCUGAGGUGCAAAAAGGUGAUAAGAAUCGCCCAAGGUCACCCAUCAGCUAGGAACAGGCCUGGGAUUAAAAUCUGACUCACACCAGAGUCUUGCGUUUCCCGUCACUUCCGGGCCUUUGCUGAAAUUGAUGGAAGUGGGCAGCGUUGUUUCUGCGAAGAGGGGAAGAGGCGGGAGAAACAAGAAGGGCUUCUAGAACCCACUGGGUUGAGUGGGGCCCACGUGGCCACCCUUGGGGAGCAGCUGGGAUAAGUGGCAAACACAUACACGUGUCCUGCCCUACAGUCCUUAAGUAACCCCACUCGACAGAUAAGAAAACUGAGGCGCAGAAUAGUGGCACAGCCUCCUCUGAAGCCCCCUCCCCACUAAGCAGUGGGUCUUGUUCUGGAUUCCCGUGCUGUGUGAAGCCAAAACACUUACACAUCUCAGUAUAUCCACUUGGAGGCUGGAACCCGUCUACACUGCACAUUCACCCACAGGCUUUGGGAGCCAUGUGAGCCCAGUGAUGAUGAGAGUGACUAUGCCAUCCCCAUACCCCAUACACUAUGCCAAGCCCUGCCCUGAGCUCUUCCCAUAUAAGACGGCCCAGCAAAUUUCCUCUCAAUUUCACUAUGAAGGAGGUGCCAUCACGGUGGCCAUUUUACAGAUGAGUAAACUGAGCCUGUGAACAUUUAAGAAACCUGCUCCAGGUCCCAAGAUUAGCAAGCACAGGAGCCAGCUCUGCAAAUGAGAAUAAAGAGCUCAUAGACCAUGCAGCACCAGGUAUAGCCCAAAGGCAGAGGCUCCUCAAACUGUCCAGCUCGUGGGGUUCCCUCCCAGGGCCCUUCCUGGGGGUAAGGUCUUAAGCUGUCUUCUCCUUCAAUAACAAACUGGCAAUCGCCUUCAGAGAGGCCACGUAGCCGCUCCCGAGCCUCCCAGCAGCUCUAGGAGCCUCAGCUCACAUUAAACGUGCUCCCAGCAUCUUAGCUGACCUCACGUGGCUCCCCAGGAGAAUCAUCUGGGUGCUCAGGAAAGUUCAGCUUCCCGGCCCGCUCAGUGACUCAGGGUAGGGAGGGGUCUGGUUUAUCGCCCAUCUCCACCCCAUCUCCCCGGCUCCAGCUGCAUCUCACGAUUGGGCAAGUUUGGGAAACAGCCCAAGCUUUGAGGCCCCUCCGCAGCCCCAGGCCUUCCCAGGCCGCCGCGGCCCCUCAAGGGCAGGAAAGUCCGGGAGGGCGGGGCCAGGUGCUCCGAGGGCCUCCUGUGCGCAGCUCCGCCCGGGGUGGGGCCUCACCUGCGGCAGGCAGGUAGGCGGCUACCUGGUAACCUGGGCCUGGCCGGGAGGCUUGGGCGCGCGCAGCCAGCCCCGGCCACGCCAGGGACCGAGGGACGCAGGCACAGGCGGCCGCCGGCGGGACGGGAGGCUGGGCGA